rnacentral:lncRNA from 1 species
GGGAAAAAUAAGUAGCAUAGGCUUCCUCGGGCCACUAUUGCGAGUUACUGAGCCUUACCUGACCGAUCUUCAUCCAAGACGUUAAAGAUCAUCUGCAGAUCUCUUCUGUAUUUGCACAGCGUUUCCACCAAAGUUGGCUGAACCUGGUUUUGAAAUCAUAUACAGGAAACCAUUUAGACCUUGGGUUCAGGUUAGCUUAACUGGCAGAACAUGUACUAUCCAAAUCUAUUUUACCAGUUUAACUUGCCAAAUGUUGGGAAAAAAAUCGUUACGCAUGAGUUCGAAGGAAUGGUGCUUUAUGUCUUGCCCCAAAUCAGCCAAAAGCUGUCACGUGUGGUGGGGUGGGGGGUGGUGAAGGAGCCCUUCACGCCUCCUCCCUUCAGUAAUUAUUUGUGGAAAAACUGAUAAUGUGGGGAAAGCGCUGUACGUCAUACACUCGUGAAACUUUCAUUAUAGGUAUAUGAAUGGGUCCUGCUGCAUAGAAAAAAUGGUGUCGAGAGCUAAGUACCAAAGCACUGUGCAGUCAUGCAUUAACAACUGGACUCUGUAGAGGAGAGCUCAUCUAUCAUGAGACAACUAAAAGCUCAUCUCCAACUGUGACUUCAUCGUACAGGUGCCAGAAGUGGCUCUGAGCACAUCUGAAAAAGCACAUCUCAAAAGAGUGCUCUCACGUGACUAUGAAAGGAAGCUGGGUAACUAGUUCAGAUGCAGAUCUCUACUGGAUUGGCCAAGCCACUGCCUUGUGCCUCAAGCUGCACCAAAAGCUGUUUCUCCGAGAUGUGAAAGGAUGUGUUUCCCUUCUUACCUGAUGCAUAGGACGAGCUGUGUCCAUAUAGCAAAAACAUGACAUGUAGUCAACUUUUCCAUCUGGAUCUGUCUUCACUAACCGAGACCUCAGCAUCCUCCAGGGCAGUUUGAGUUGUAGGACUGACUCCAUCACUGCUGCCCAGUCACUGAUAGAAAUCCUGCCUGCCAGGAGCGGUCGGUUCAUGGUUACAAGCAGUGUGUGACACAGCACAGAUGAGACCCAGCAACCCCAGCAUGCCUUCUGACAUUGUUUUAAAACACUCACAAAACAUAAAUGUUUUUUCCUAAGCAUGGUAAUAAAAACAGUGAGGUCAGACUGGGCAUUUAUAGAGGUCCCUUCCCACUGC